GAUGUACUCCCUCCGUCCCAUAUUAACUGACGAAAUAUUACAUGUACCUAGAUGUUUUUUUAAUAUAAAUACAUUCAUAUUUGGGUAAAUUUGAGUCACUUAAUAUGGGACGGAGGGAGUAGCAG
rfam:Brachypodium distachyon strain Bd21 chromosome 3, whole genome shotgun sequence.